AUGAACAAAUAUAUAUAACAAUGAAAAAGAUAUACAGCAUGUGAUCUCCCCAUACAUACUCAGGCUCAAAUUCCUGACCUGCUGUCUCUUUAACUACAGAUGACUGCGCCAGUUCACCCACAGCCUGAUAGUUAUCCCAGGGCAAGGUGCACUCCACAGCUCCAGCUACAGAUCAUCUACUUCCUAUAACAAGGUUGAAAUGGAGAAACCCCACGAAGUCAUAUGGACAACUCUUGUUGGAAAUGCUUUUGCAGAUAUCUGAUCAAGGGGAGGAAAAGUCUCACAGCUUUUCAAGCCACAAGUUGUAAGAUCAAGAAUUUUCCUGCUGGAAUGUGACAGCGACACAGAGACAGUCAUGCACGAUCCCUUACAUCCAAGCUACUCUUCAGGUACAGAAAUACUGAGCUUAGAAAUAGCCAAAAUUUAAAAAAACCCAAUAUUUUGCAUUGAAAUAUGAAAUUCUGAAAAUUACUGAUACAACCUAAUGCAGCAGAAGCUCUCGGGGUGCGUCAGUGUGAGGAGCACUGCUCUAGCUUUAGAAAAUGAAAUGUCUGGGAUUUGUUUCACUGCAUAGUUUUCCCAGGACUUGAUAUUGUAAAGACAAUGAUUCUCAUAGGCUUUUACAGAAAUAGAGAGUUCAUAAGCAGAUAGCAGACACAAGGUCUUGUGAUUUAGCUGGUGAAAAGCAUUUGUAUUUUAUGUUAGAUAUUUAUUUAUUUAACAACUUGGAAAGUGCUAUACAAUAUUUUUAACAUCUCCUCAUCUCCUGCUGUUACAUUUUGGAGAAUUAUUAAAUUUCUGGAGAAGGGUCAGCUCUGUAAAAGUUGUCAGCUUUUAAGACAGGGUAUUCAGUGAAUAAAUGAAUUAUUGAGCUGAAGUCCUUUAUUGAG
rnacentral:lncRNA from 1 species